rnacentral:rRNA from 1 species
CAGUCGCCGCGGGAAUACGAAGGGUGCAAGCGUUAAUCGGAAUUACUGGGCGUAAAGCGUGCGUAGGCGGUGAGUUAAGUCUGCUGUGAAAUCCCCGGGCUCAACCUGGGAAUGGCAGUGGAUACUGGCUCGCUAGAGUGUGUCAGAGGAUGGUGGAAUUCCCGGUGUAGCGGUGAAAUGCGUAGAGAUCGGAAGGAACAUCUGUGGCGAAGGCGACUAUCUGGGCCAACACUGACACUGAGACACGAAAGCGUGGGGAGCAAACAGGAUUAGAUACCCCUGUAGUCCCUGUCUCUUAUAC